rnacentral:rRNA from 1 species
UACGGAGGGUGCAAGCGUUAUCCGGAUUCAUUGGGCGUAAAGGGUGCGUAGGCGGCGCGGUAAGUCGGGUGUGAAAUCUCGGGGCUUAACUCCGAAACUGCAUUCGAUACUGCCGUGCUUGAGGACUGGAGAGGAGACUGGAAUUUACGGUGUAGCGGUGAAAUGCGUAGAUAUCGUAAGGAAGACCAGUGGCGAAGGCGGGUCUCUGGACAGUUCCUGACGCUGAGGCACGAAGGCCAGGGGAGCAAACGGGG